rfam:Triticum aestivum genome assembly, contig: Triticum_aestivum_CS42_TGACv1_scaffold_405246_5BL
AAACUACCCCUCCGUCCAAAAAUACUUGUCAGAGAAAUGGAUGUAUCUAGACGUGUUUUAUUUCUACAUACAUCCAUUUUUAUCCAUUUCUCCCACAAGUAUUUCCGGACGGAGGGAGUAUUAA